ACGAACGCUGGCGGCGUGCUUAACACAUGCAAGUCGAACGGAAAGGCCCUGCUUUUGUGGGGUGCUCGAGUGGCGAACGGGUGAGUAACACGUGAGUAACCUGCCCUUGACUUUGGGAUAACUUCAGGAAACUGGGGCUAAUACCGGAUAGGAGCUCCUGCUGCAUGGUGGGGGUUGGAAAGUUUCGGCGGUUGGGGAUGGACUCGCGGCUUAUCAGCUUGUUGGUGGGGUAGUGGCUUACCAAGGCUUUGACGGGUAGCCGGCCUGAGAGGGUGACCGGCCACAUUGGGACUGAGAUACGGCCCAGAAUCCUACGGGAGGCAGCAGUGGGGAAUAUUGCACAAUGGGCGGAAGCCUGAUGCAGCAACGCCGCGUGCGGGAUGACGGCCUUCGGGUUGUAAACCGCUUUCGCCUGUGACGAAGCGUGAGUGACGGUAAUGGGUAAAGAAGCACCGGCUAACUACGUG
rnacentral:rRNA from 1 species